CCUACAACGAAGUCAGGGUUUGGAAAAUGAGAAGAACCUUUCCCUUUAGGCUUUCCUGGAAAGGCCUCCGAGGAGCUAUUUAAAAAGGAAGAUUGGCUGUUUCACCCACUAGAGCAAAGGUCCUCCAACUUGCUAACGAUUUAUUUUGAGAUAGGUGAGAAUCCAUGCUUCUUGGGUUGAUGAAUAUAAUAGACCCCGUUUACUAAACACCUACAAUGUGACUGUGACAUUUGGCAUGUGCUUUAACCUUCCUGAAUCAUUCCCCAUUCCCCCCUGUUCUGUGAAAUGGAGAUUAUAAUGCCUAAUAGGAUUGUUGUGGUUGGUUAAAGAGGUUGCUUUACAUUCAUUAUCUCAUUUGAUCCUCCCAACAACGGGGUGAAAUAGGCCUUACUUGCCCCCAUUUUAUAGCUGAGGAAACUGAGUUUCAGAGAGGUCAAGUAAUUCACUCAGGAUCGUAGAGCUGAUAAAUGAGAGCCAGGUUUUAAGCCUGCCUGUGUCUCUCUAAUCCAAAAUAUAUGUGCUCUCCAUUGUACUUUCUAUGCCUUACAGAGACUGAUUAGUGAAAGGGAAACUAGGAAAUGCUUGAGUAUUUCCAGUCCUAAUAAUAUUCAGUUCAAAUUCCAGGAAGGGCAGUGAUUUUCAACCUUCUUAACUUUUCUGUUUUAAAUCUGCAAAAGAAAACCUGCUACAGACCAGAAAGGAGAAAGUUCCCCCUAAAUUGUGUCAAUCUUUGCAGAUAAUAAAGCAACUCUUUCACUUCUGCAGGAUUGUCAAGUGGGAUGUCCAAACCUGAGAAACAGCUAUUUGGUUCUUUACUCUGCCCCUGAAUAGAGUCGGAGCUUCAGGCUUCAGGGAGGGACAAUUGCCAUCAAAAGUCGUCAUGCCCGGGAGCAGGUGUUGCUCAGAAUUGUGAAGACGUUAUGAACCCAGGUGACUUGACUCCAGAGUUACAACCCCACUAAUGAGAAGUGAUUUUUGGCCACGUUGAAGUCAUGACCGGUUUCCCUGGGAAGUCAACAGAAGUUUGGCAGGUGCGUGAGCUCCGCAGGGCAGAGAGCAAGAGGAGAGACACUUCCGACGGACUCAGACCCCAGCAAUAUCUCUCCCUGGCACUGCGCGC
ensembl:lincRNA